rnacentral:rRNA from 1 species
CAGUAGCCGCGGUAAUACUGAGGGUGCGAGCGUUAAUCGGAUUUACUGGGCGUAAAGCGUGCGUAGGCGGCUUCUUAAGUCGGAUGUGAAAUCCCUGAGCUUAACUUAGGAAUUGCAUUCGAUACUGGGAAGCUAGAGUAUGGGAGAGGAUGGUAGAAUUCCAGGUGUAGCGGUGAAAUGCGUAGAGAUCUGGAGGAAUACCGAUGGCGAAGGCAGCCAUCUGGCCUAAUACUGACGCUGAGGUACGAAAGCAUGGGGAGCAAACAGGAUUAGAGACCCCUGUAGUCCCUGUCUCUUAUAC